AGGACGAACGCUGGCGGCGUGCAUCACACAUGCAAGUGGAGCGACGAACCAGGGCUUGCCCUGGGGCAGAGCCGCGAACGGGUGAGUAACACGUGGGUUACCUGCCUCGAUGACCGGGACAACCCGAGGAAACUCGGGCUAAUACCGGAUGUGCCCGCAAGGGGGAAAGGAAGCUUCGGCCUCCGCAUCGAGAUGGGCCCGCGGCCCAUUAGCUUGUUGGUGAGGUAAUGGCUCACCAAGGCUUCGAUGGGUAGCUGGUCUGAGAGGACGAUCAGCCACACUGGGACUGAGACACGGCCCAGACUCCUACGGGAGGCAGCAGUGGGGAAUCUUGCGCAAUGCGCGAAAGCGUGACGCAGCAACGCCGCGUGGGGGAAGAAGGCUUUCGGGUUGUAAACCCCUUUCAGUUGGGACGAAGCUUCUCCGGUGAAUAGCCGGACGGAGUGACGGUACCUUCACAAGAAGCACCGGCUAACUACGCGCCAGCAGCCGCGGUAA
rnacentral:rRNA from 1 species